rnacentral:lncRNA from 1 species
CAACAACAGAUGCAUUUAGCAGUUUUAUUUCUGUCUCGGUAUCCUCAGUCCCGCCCAACAGGAGCCCAGCUCUGGCAGGAGGGGCAGGUUGGCACCUCUACACAGCGGCUGGGAGCAUGGAGACCACUCACCCGUCACCUGCCACAAACCACUAGUCAUGGAGGGUGGACUCCCAGGCCACAGACUGACCAGGACUCAGGACUGUCUCCUGGCCCAGUCCCAGACAGUUCACAGCUGAGGAGGAACAAAGCAGAGGAAAGGGACGUGGCGUGACGUGCUGGGAGUGAAACGCUGACACCUCCGUGGCCAUCUGGGACCACGACCUGCACUACUGCCCUCACACCCGGACCUGGAGCUGCCACUUCCUGCCUGCUUCCCAGAAUAGCUGGGCUCAUCCUCUGAGCAGGCUGCCCUGCCUUCCUCUGUCUCUGCUCAGGACAGAGACUCCUCCUAGGACACCAAACACCCCCCACACAGCACAGACCCAGCCUCCCAGCCAACGGCCACUCACUGGAGCAAAGGGAGCCAAGUCUGGCUUUGGACAGGAAGAUGGGGUUUGCCAGGCAAGGGGUGCAGAGAUGCUGAACUUGAACAUGGAGGGGAAACAAUGAUGAUGCCAAGGGAAGGGGCCCUGGGAUCCUACCAGACCCUACCCCAAAGUCCGAAGCCACUCUUCAUGAAAUAAUAUGUGAUAUUAAAAACUUAAAUUUUCAGUUUCAUGAAACAGCAAAUAAAAGCCUUGAGAUAGUUGCUCUCCC